GACGAACGCUGGCGGCGUGCCUAAUACAUGCAAGUAGUACGCUGAAGGAGGAGCUUGCUUCUCUGGAUGAGUUGCGAACGGGUGAGUAACGCGUAGGUAACCUGCCUGGUAGCGGGGGAUAACUAUUGGAAACGAUAGCUAAUACCGCAUAAGAGUAGAUGUUGCAUGACAUUUGCUUAAAAGGUGCAAUUGCAUCACUACCAGAUGGACCUGCGUUGUAUUAGCUAGUUGGUGGGGUAACGGCUCACCAAGGCGACGAUACAUAGCCGACCUGAGAGGGUGAUCGGCCACACUGGGACUGAGACACGGCCCAGACUCCUACGGGAGGCAGCAGUAGGGAAUCUUCGGCAAUGGACGGAAGUCUGACCGAGCAACGCCGCGUGAGUGAAGAAGGUUUUCGGAUCGUAAAGCUCUGUUGUAAGAGAAGAACGAGUGUGAGAGUGGAAAGUUCACACUGUGACGGUAUCUACCA
rnacentral:rRNA from 1 species